rnacentral:rRNA from 1 species
UACGAAGGGGGCUAGCGUUGUUCGGAUUUACUGGGCGUAAAGCGCACGUAGGCGGAUCGAUCAGUCAGGGGUGAAAUCCCAGAGCUCAACUCUGGAACUGCCUUUGAUACUGUCGAUCUGGAGUAUGGAAGAGGUGAGUGGAAUUCCGAGUGUAGAGGUGAAAUUCGUAGAUAUUCGGAGGAACACCAGUGGCGAAGGCGGCGACCUGGGCAGAUACUGACGCUGAGGUGCGAAAGCGUGGGGAGCAAACAGG